ACCAAGGUACUUGGCUUUAUCGCUCAACAUCUUGUCUAGUUCAUUAUGACUUUUGCCACUGUGACAAUCUGAUUGAUUGACAUUGCCAGUUCUCUGGAAUUCUAUCUUACCUGCUUGACUCCCCGCUAUUUCUUAUAGGUAAAAUUUAAUACACUGAUCAUCCCACCAAUGCAACUUACAUGAAAUAAACAUGCAAGCAUGUUAGAG
rnacentral:misc_RNA from 1 species